ACCUCGUGAAGCUUCAAUGAUCAUGAGAACGGUGAAGAAUCAGCCCAAAACUACACAGGAUGAUCUUGUUAAUGAUCUUAAAGCAGCUGGGACCAUAGUCACCAAGAAAACAAUUGGUAACACACUACGCCGUGAAAGACUGAAAACUUGCAGCGCCCACAAAGUCCCCCUGUUCAAGAAAGCACAUGAACAGGCCCGUCUGAAGUUUGCC